CCUACGGGAGGCAGCAGUAGGGAAUCUUCCGCAAUGGACGCAAGUCUGACGGAGCAACGCCGCGUGAGUGAAGAAGGUUUUCGGAUCGUAAAACUCUGUUGUUAGAGAAGCGGUAUCUAACCAGAAAGCCACGGCUAACUACGUGCCAGCAGCCGCGGUAAUACGUAGGUGGCAAGCGUUGUCCGGAUUUAUUGGGCGUAAAGCGAGCGCAGGCGGUUCCUUAAGUCUGAUGUGAAAGCCCCCGGCUCAACCGGGGAGGGUCAUUGGAAACUGGGGAACUUGAGUGCAGAAGAGGAGAGUGGAAUUCCAUGUGUAGCGGUGAAAUGCGUAGAUAUAUGGAGGAACACCAGUGGCGAAGGCGACUCUCUGGUCUGUACUGACGCUGAGGCUCGAAAGCGUGGGUAGCAAACAGGAUUAGAUACCCUUGUAGUC
rnacentral:rRNA from 1 species